rnacentral:tRNA from 1 species
GGAAGCGUGGCCGAGCGGUUUAAGGCACUAGUCUUGAAAACUAGCGAUGGGGUGACCCAUCCGUGGGUUCGAAUCCCACCGCUUCCGCCA